GCCCUGGUAGCAAAACAGUUAAGCAUUUGUCUGCUAACCAAAAGGUUGGUGGUUUGAACCCACCCAGUGGCU
rnacentral:tRNA from 1 species